AGUGAACGCUGGCGGUAGGCCUAACACAUGCAAGUCGAACGGCAGCACAGUAAGAGCUUGCUCUUACGGGUGGCGAGUGGCGGACGGGUGAGGAAUACAUCGGAAUCUACUUUUUCGUGGGGGAUAACGUAGGGAAACUUACGCUAAUACCGCAUACGACCUACGGGUGAAAGCAGGGGAUCUUCGGACCUUGCGCGAUUGAAUGAGCCGAUGUCGGAUUAGCUAGUUGGCGGGGUAAAGGCCCACCAAGGCAACGAUCCGUAGCUGGUCUGAGAGGGUGAUCAGCCACACUGGAACUGAGACACGGUCCAGACUCCUACGGGAGGCAGCAGUGGGGAAUAUUGGACAAUGGGCGCAAGCCUGAUCCAGCCAUACCGCGUGGGUGAAGAAGGCCUUCGGGUUGUAAAGCCCUUUUGUUGGGAAAGAAAAGCAGCAGGUUAAUACCCCGCUGUUCUGACGGUACCCAAAGAAUAAGCACCGGCUAACUUCGUG
rnacentral:rRNA from 1 species